rnacentral:rRNA from 1 species
AUGGACCAUUCCAUCCCUUUUUCCCGUGCAUAUGCAUUGGACUCGGAUGACGAUGGUCCCAAUGAACAAGUUGAUGCGGAGGGGUUCACGGUGAAGGAGGCCGAAGCUUUCGAGAAGGUAUUUGGUCGGGAUCAUCGGACUACAUUGUUCAAGGAUGUUAGUCUCGCGGAUGAAGCCAUGGUAGAUGGUGGCCAAUGUGUACCUCUUGGGGUUAGGCCAAGCUCUCAC